rnacentral:lncRNA from 1 species
UCAGUUUGUCUCCCCUUUCCCUCCAAAACGUUAAUAACACUUAAAUAUCGGGGAACUGACAUCUUUCACUUAGGGACUAUUCUCGCUCACUUUUAUCUAUACGAGGAUUCUAACUUCUUUCGGAGAAUCUGGGGAAUACUAGCUCGCUCAUGUUCAGGUCUAUGUAAUACCUUCUGCUGGCGUGUCCCUCAUCUCGGACACUUUCUCCUUUCGAGGCCCGGCGCUGGUGAAUAAAAUACAAUGAUGUUUCAAUUAUUUAUUCCAAACAGCUAUCUACAUUUAAGUGUGAUAUGUGAUCUGUGAUCUAUUGAUUUAAACUUUGUUUUAACUUAUUUCUGAUAAUGAAAAUCUUUUAUAAAUUUAAUUUAAGUUUUAAAUAUCAAAGUUAUUAAAUCAAAAG